rnacentral:rRNA from 1 species
CUGGCGGCGUGCUUAACACAUGCAAGUCGAACGGGAUCCCGGGGGUUCGCUCCCGGGUGAGAGUGGCGAACGGGUGAGUAAUGCGUGACCGACCUGCCCCAUACACCGGAAUAGCUCCUGGAAACGGGUGGUAAUGCCGGAUGCUCCGGUUGGAUGCAUGUCCUUCCGGGAAAGAUUCUAUCGGUAUGGGAUGGGGUCGCGUCCUAUCAGCUUGAUGGCGGGGUAACGGCCCACCAUGGCUUCGACGGGUAGCCGGCCUGAGAGGGCGACCGGCCACAUUGGGACUGAGAUACGGCCCAGACUCCUACGGGAGGCAGCAGUGGGGAAUAUUGCACAAUGGGCGCAAGCCUGAUGCAGCGACGCCGCGUGCGGGAUGGAGGCCUUCGGGUUGUAAACCGCUUUUGAUCGGGAGCAAGCCCUUCGGGGUGAG